GGCCCUGCUGGACGGGCUGGUGCGCGACGGCUACCUGCGGCGGCGCCCGACGGGCUGGUUCUGGACCCACCCGGAGUCC
rnacentral:tRNA from 2 species